UGGCUCUUUUAGAGUCCGAGUUGUAAUUUGCAGAGGGCGCUUUGGCUUUGGCAGCGGUCCAAGUUCCUUGGAACAGGACGUCACAGAGGGUGAGAAUCCCGUACGUGGUCGCUGGCUAUUGCCGUGUAAAGCCCCUUCGACGAGUCGAGUUGUUUGGGAAUGCAGCUCUAAAUGGGAGGUACAUUUCUUCUAAAGCUAAAUAUUGGCCAGAGACCGAUAGCGCACAAGUAGAGUGAUCGAAAGAUGAAAAGCACUUUGGAAAGAGAGUCAAACAGCACGUGAAAUUGUUGAAAGGGAAGCGCUUGCAGCCAGACUUGCUUACAGUUGCUCAUCCGGGUUUCUACCCGGUGCACUCUUCUGUAGGCAGGCCAGCAUCAGUUUGGGCGGUAGGAUAAAGGUCUCUGUCACGUACCUCCUUUCGGGGAGGCCUUAUAGGGGAGACGACAUACUACCAGCCUGGACUGAGGUCCGCGCAUCUGCUAGGAUGCUGGCGUAAUGGCUGUAAGCGGCCCGUCUUGAAACACGGACCAAGGAGUCUAACAUCUAUGCGAGUGUUUGGGUGUCAAGCCCGAGCGCGUAAUGAAAGUGAACGGAGGUGGGAACCCGCAAGGCUGCACCAUCGACCGAUCCUGAUGUCUUCGGAAGGAUUUGAGUAAGAGCAUGGCUGUUGGGACCCGAAAGAUGGUGAACUAUGCUU
rnacentral:rRNA from 1 species